UCUUUUCGAAAUUUCAACAAAUAAGGUAUAGUUUUUAAGUUUAUUCCUUUUUACUCGGAAAAGAUUCAAACUGAUCGUGCAAAGCGGCUAGAUGAAAAAGAGAUGGAUGCGCAGCAACGGACGCAAAUAAACAGACAUGAUACCAUGGAAACAAAUGGAGCGAGACUAUUAUUCUUGUGACCACCAGAGUCUUGCAUUAUUAAACUAUCAGUGGGAGUACUUAGCAGAAUACCCUUCGGUACUAGUGGAAUGAAGGAGAUUUCACUCUAAACGCGUGAGGCAGCUAAAGUGAUAUAGAACCUUUUUAUUAGUACCAUUAGUAUGUUGUUUACAUAGCAUUUUUGACAAUUUAGUUUUAUUUGUUGUCUUUAUGUCUUUUUAUUUCGUCGAGUAAAUUUAAUAUAAAGAGAUUUUAAGGUUGACAUAAUGGACUCCAGUUGAAUUAGCUCGCUUUUCGGCAACAAAGCAUGAGACUAAGCGACAGCUGUGAUCGAAUCAGUUUCUUCAUCUGAAGUUGAAGAAUUCCGUGUGCCGCGCAUUAUGACAUAAGUACUUGCUAAUAUAAGCAGUUCCAGAAAAAAUGGGUGCGCAUCAGUGCGAUCCUCAUCAACAUGCUCUCUACAUGAACAGAAGUGUGACCGGACUCGCUAAAAAGAUUCUAUGAAUACGAUCUACUCGCAGAACAGAUUGAGGGAAAAGCUCCAAAUGAUCUGCUUGACAAAUUGCUGCAAUAUUUCUCUGUCGUUGUUAAGAAAAUUCCUGAAUCCUUAGGAUGUUAUUUUGAGGCUCGACCUUUAGCCUCUCUCAAGUUAUGAUUGUGAUUAAUGAAAAAGAAAAUACCGUGAUUCAGAACGACUACAUAUGAUCAUUAAUAGCUGAGCCGGUGGCUUUGAUGAUUGGCAAAACUGAGCUGCAAGCUCGCUUGCUUUAAAAAAGAUUAAUAAUAGUUGAUUUUAAAAACAGCCAAGAUGGCUUGAAAAAGCAACAAUUUAGCGCCAGUGUGUAUGCUAAACAGAUUCUUACACCAAGAAAGUUUUAACAGAAACCCGAGGGAAUGCAGCCAAAUUUGUUAUUCCGUUUUUGAUGGAUGGGGCAACGAUUAAAGUCAUAUACGUUAUUUUCCGUCUCAUAGAUGAUGAAGGUGGUUCGGAUUGACAUAUUUAUUCCAGCCUUCUAUGCAGUGUGGAUGUUCUAAAGACCUCUACAGCAAACUUUUCGUGGUGGUUUUCAGAUAGGGUGGCCCAAGCUCGAGAUGGUAAUUUGUUGCAUUCGCUUUGGAUUUGUGUGUUUUUCCUGUAAAUGCUGAAGAGUUAGUUAAAAUUUUAGGCAUAAUGAUUAUCUUUUUUGAACUUUGAUGGAUGGUGCUAAUUUAGUAAUUAUUUUCGGGCUCUGUGAAUGAUUGUGCUAUGUUAAAUUAAAUUGUAAUAAAGUGCAGACAUGGCGCGAUUCAAAUAUU